rnacentral:rRNA from 1 species
UACAGAGGGUGCAAGCGUUGUUCGGAAUUACUGGGCGUAAAGCGCGUGUAGGCGGCGGUGUAAGUCGGAUGUGAAAGCCCUCAGCUCAACUGAGGAAGUGCACCCGAUACUGCAUUGCUUGAGUGCCGGAGGGGAUGGCGGAAUUCCCGGUGUAGAGGUGAAAUUCGUAGAUAUCGGGAGGAACACCUGUGGCGAAGGCGGCCAUCUGGACGGUGACUGACGCUGAGACGCGAAAGCGUGGGUAGCAAACAGG